GUGCUGAUACGUAUGUUCACGUAGUUGCCAACAUCUGGUUAGAAUUUCAUGUCAAUAAAAUUCUAAGAAACAUAUUUACUUAGAAAACUGUUGACAUGUUCAAUAUUUAUUUUACCUGCUGUAAAUACCGAAAGAACGCACUUCAGAUAUUUAAACAGAGAAUCCAUCCAGGAAGGAAAAUGGUUCAAUGGCCUACACUCUACAUUUUUGAAAAAAAAAACAAACAAACUGUAAAAAACUGUGGACUUUACGGAGCCCCGCAGGGGACAUGGGAGAAAAAAAAAUUAAGACGGACUUUUGCGAGAUCUCGCAAAAGUCCGUCUUAAUUUUUAGUCGCAAAACAAACUCGGGAUCUCGCAAAACUUUUGCGAGAUCUCGCAAAAGUUGAAUUCCAACAAUGGCGGCAGCUACUUAGUUGUAAUAUUACUCUUUCUGGGUCACAAAAUACACUUUUAAGAUAUUUUGAGGCGUGAAUGUAGUUGUGUAAACGUCAGAUACCUGCUCGGUUAACAAGACAUCACAUAUUUGCAAAAGUGCUCCGACGUUUUUGGAGAUCUGACACCCACUAUCUCGAAGCUAACGGGAGGUUGAGACCUACUACAGCCGGGAGGAACACCACUUUCCCGGCACAUCGUGCCUCGACCUCCCGGUCGGCUUUGAGCUGGCAGCCUCUGAAGAAUGCGGCUAAAACUUAGCCCUGGGGGGCUCCGUAGGACUUUGAAAACUGACUAAAAUAAAAGUAUAAGGGAAAUAUCCUUAAUUUUAUAAUCUGUUAAUUUAGUAAAAUGCAUUUCCAACUUGCCUGAUGAGGCACUGCUAGGCUUGAUUAUUGUGAGUCAGGAUCUCUACAAGCCUGUGAGUCAACUGUUUUAAAGAAGCAUGUGUUUUUUUGUAAUACCUGUACUUGUUUGACCAAAUUUUUCCUCUGACAUAAAACUUCCAUAUCGUAAUAUUUGAAAAAAGAAAACAAGAAUAAACUAAAACUGGUACUGAAACUAAUAAAAACUAAAAAAAAAAACUUAAAAAAACCUAAACAUUUUUAAGCAAUAAAAAGUACAGUUCAAACUAGAAUAUCUAUCCCUGGAAAUUAACUGAAAAUAAAAUGAACUAAAAAAAAUGUCAGUACGAAAUUAAGAAAAAGUACUCCGAAAAUACAAAAUCAUAAUAACUAAUAAUUGUCAGUCUGUCGCAGGGCUAACACAUUGAGAUAGACAACAAUUCACACUUACAGCCAGUUUAAAUUCACUAAACAGAGAACACACACAGAGAGGCCCGAGCCUGGCUUUGAGCCCAGAACCUGUGCUGAUCACCACGCUACAAUCAUCAGCCGCUUCUGUUCCAAAGAAACUAAACAAAAGCAUUGUGAUGAGAAGCCAUGAUUAAAAGGUACAUACAGUAAUGACUAAUGAUUUUAAUUUGUUAUUGUGUUGCACAGAAUACAUCAAGCCCAGCCCAAACAGGCUUUCAAGACCCCCCGCAACCAGAAAUCACAGCCAGAGUAGCACCUGUGCCAAGAUGUUAACUGAAGUCAGCUAUGAGGUGGGGCCUCCA
ensembl:lncRNA